rnacentral:rRNA from 1 species
UGCAUAUCANUAAGCGGAGGAAAAGAAACCAACAGGGAUUGCCUUAGUAGCGGCGAGUGAAGCGGCAAAAGCUCAAAUUUGAAAUCUGGCACCUUCGGUGUCCGAGUUGUAAUUUGAAGAUUGUAACCUUGGGGUUGGCUCUUGUCUAUGUUUCUUGGAACAGGACGUCACAGAGGGUGAGAAUCCCGUGCGAUGAGAUGCCCAAUCCUAUGUAAGGUGCUUUCGAAGAGUCGAGUUGUUUGGGAAUGCAGCUCUAAGUGGGUGGUAAAUUCCAUCUAAAGCUAAAUAUUGGCGAGAGACCGAUAGCGAACAAGUACAGUGAUGGAAAGAUGAAAAGAACUUUGAAAAGAGAGUGAAAAAGUACGUGAAAUUGUUGAAAGGGAAGGGUUUGAGAUCAGACUCGAUAUUUUGUGAGCCUUGCCUUCGUGGCGGGGUGACCCGCAGCUUAUCGGGCCAGCAUCGGUUUGGGCGGUAGGAUAAUGGCGUAGGAAUGUGACUUUGCUUCGGUGAAGUGUUAUAGCCUGCGUUGAUGCUGCCUGCCUAGACCGAGGACUGCGAUUUUAUCAAGGAUGCUGGCAUAAUGAUCCCAAACCGCCCGUCUUGAACCACGGACCA